GAUGAAGAACGUAGCGAAAUGCGAUACUUGGUGUGAAUUGCAGAAUCCCGUGAACCAUCGAGUCUUUGAACGCAAGUUGCGCCCGAAGCCAUUAGGCCGAGGGCACGCCUGCCUGGGCGUCACACGUCGUUGCCCCCCCAUCUACUCCUUCGGGAUUGCGGGGGGCGGAUGAUGGCCUCCCGUGCGCCUCGCCGCGCGGUUGGCAUAAAUGCCAAGUCCUCGGCGACGCACGCCACAACAAUCGGUGGUUGCGAAACCUCGGUUGCCCGUCGUGUGCGGUCGUCGCGCAUCGAGGGCUCGAAAAAAUUGCCGGGUUCCGGCUCGGCUUUCAACGCGACCCCAGGUCAGGCGGGGUUACCCGCUGAAUUUAAGCAUAUCAAUAAGCGGAGGA
rnacentral:misc_RNA from 1 species